rnacentral:rRNA from 1 species
GAUGAACGCUGGCGGCGUGCCUAAUACAUGCAAGUCGAGCGAACAGAUGAGGAGCUUGCUCCUCUGACGUUAGCGGCGGACGGGUGAGUAACACGUGGAUAACCUACCUAUAAGACUGGGAUAACUUCGGGAAACCGGAGCUAAUACCGGAUAAUAUAUUGAACCGCAUGGUUCAAUAGUGAAAGACGGUUUUGCUGUCACUUAUAGAUGGAUCCGCGCCGCAUUAGCUAGUUGGUAAGGUAACGGCUUACCAAGGCAACGAUGCGUAGCCGACCUGAGAGGGUGAUGGGCCAAACUGGAACGGAGACACGGGCCAGCCUCCUACGGGGGGCAGAAGUAGGGAAUCUUCCGCAAUGGGCGAAAGCCUGACGGGGCAACGCCGGGUGAGGGAUGAAGGUUUUCGGAUCGUAAAACUCUUUUAUUAGGGAAAAAAAAAUGGGUAAGUAACUAUGCACGUCUGGACGGUACCUAAUCAAAAAGCCACGGCUAACUACGU